rnacentral:lncRNA from 1 species
GAGGAGCAAUCCCUUUUCGAGGCUCCUUAGACCAGAUGAGCAACGUCUCCCCAGCUUUGGACGCCGCGGCAGGAGGAGCCGUGUUAUUGGUCAGAAAGCCGGGCGGGACGGCAGACGAGGCUGCUCGCUGGGAACAACUAUUUAGCCGUCCUGACGCAAGUCGUCCACCUUUUCCGAACUUUAAUCUCCCACCUCUUAAGUCUUAGGAGCAUGAAUCGGCACGCCCAGGCUUGCUAAGAUGACCCAAAUGCAAAUGAGAGCCUGACCAAAACAUUUUUAAACUCUGUAUACGGAGUUAUUUUGAAAUCAGGACCAGAGCUAACUCUGCAGGAAGGAGGAAAAAACUUGAAAAAGAGCAUGUCCACAAAACAUCUCGUGACCUACAGAAGAGAAAACAGACCAUCAAGCUAGAAGGAGAAAAGACUGAUUGAGGGGAAGAUCAGAGUGGAUGAGAGAGAGAGAAGCUAUCUAGAGUAAAGGACCCAACUUCUGGUUCAACCAGAAGAGGAAGUAGAAGAUAAAAACUGCACUCAGAGAGACGGAGGGAAUUGUUAGAAAGAGAAUCCACUAUCCUCCAUGGAGACAGACACUGUCAAGGACAAGCACCUGGAUCAUCUCCUCCCCACAAAGAGAUACAGGCUGGUGGGAAAGCUGCUGACCAGCAAGAUCACGGGCUCCCUCCUCUCUGCAAGUAGUCUCAAGGCCAAAGACAAGCUGGUGGGAAAGCUCCAACCAGCAAGGCCAUAUGCUCCCGCCUCCCCUACCUAAAACCCCAAAUAAAAACCCUUCCUUUUAGCUUUUUGGGGAGUUUGGGAUUUCAGCAUUAGCUGCCCUCUCUCCUUGUUCAGAGCUGUGCAAAAAUAAAAUUCCUACUUUCUUCCACUAUCCCCGGUGUCAGAGAUUGGCUUGCUGUGCAACGGGUGAGUGAACUCACUUCAGGUUCAAUGUCAGAUCUAUGUUCAGAUAAAACAAAACAUUGUCUUCUCUUCUGUAACUCUUACUUUUUCCACCUCCAAUAUCUUCCAUUUAUUUUUCAGAAGUAAUCCCAGGUGACUUGAGAAUGAAAGCAGAAGUCUCUUUUAUCCUACAGCACAAAGGAUCUCUCUAACCCUCUUCCCCAAAUUUAAAGUGAUCCUAUAUAUUCAACAGCAACUGUGGGACUGGAGCUAUGUUGAGAGGGGGGAAUGGGGAGUGAAGUAUGACCUG